GCCGGCAUACGGCUCAGUAACACGUAGGUAACCUACCCUUAGGACUGGGAUAACUCCGGGAAACUGGGGCUAAUACCAGAUAGAUAAAAGAUACUGGAAUGUUCUUUUAUCCAAAGCUUUUGUGCCUAAGGAUGGGCCUGCGUCCGAUUAGGUUGUUGGUGGGGUAAUGGCCCACCAAGCCUGCGAUCGGUACGGGCAGUGGGAGCUGUAGCCCGGAGUUGGGGACUGAGACAAGGCCCCAGGCCCUACGGGGCGCAGCAGGCGCGAAACCUCUGCAAUGCGGGAAACCGUGACAGGGGGAUCCCAAGUGCUCAUGCAUUGCAUGGGCUGUUCUUUGGUCUAAGUAACCAGAGGAGUAAGGGCUGGGCAAGACCGGUGCCAGCCGCCGCGGUAAUACCGGCAGCUCGAGUGGUAGCCGCGAUUAUUGGGCCUAAAGCGUUCGUAGCCGGAUAAGUAAGUCUUUGGUUAAAUCCUGCGACUUAACCGUGGGAAAUCUAGAGAUACUGCUUGUCUUGAGACCGGGAGAGGUUGGAGGUACUCCUAGGGUAGGGGUGAAAUCCUGUAAUCCUAGGGGGACCACCUGUGGCGAAGGCGUCCAACUGGAACGGGUCUGACGGUGAGGGACGAAACCUAGGGGAGCGAGCCGGAUUAGAUACCCGGGUAGUCCUAGGCGUAAAUGAUGCGAGUUAAGUGUGGGGGCAUCUACGAGAUGGCCCUGUGCUGUAGGGUAGCCGUUAAACUCGCCGCCUGGGGAGUACGGUCGCAGGGCUGAAACUUAAAGGAAUUGGCGGGGGAGCACCACAAGAGGUGGAGGCUGCGGUUCAAUUGGAUUCAACGCCGGGAAGGGCG
rnacentral:rRNA from 1 species